AGGACGAACGCUGGCGGCGUGCUUAACACAUGCAAGUCGAGCGGUAAGGCCCUUUCGGGGGUACACGAGCGGCGAACGGGUGAGUAACACGUGAGUAAUCUGCCCUCCACUUGGGGAUAAGCUUCGGAAACGGGGUCUAAUACCUGAUACGACAACUACCUGCAUGGGUUGGUUGUGGUAAAGUUUUUUCGGUGGGGGAUGUGCUCGCGGCCUAUCAGCUUGUUGGUGGGUAAUGGCCUACCAAGGCUUCGA
rnacentral:rRNA from 1 species